rnacentral:rRNA from 1 species
UCAAGCUAUAAAGAGCGCAAGGGGAAUGCCUUGGCAUCAGGAGCCGACGAAGGACGUGACAAGCUGCGAUAAGCUUCGGGGAGGAGCAAAUAUCCGUUGAUCCGGAGAUUUCCGAAUGGGGAAACCCACCAGAGCAAUACUUUGGUAUCGUGCGUUGAACAAAAUAGGCGUACGAGGGGAACGCCCUGAACUGAAACAUCUAAGUAGGGGCAGGAAAAGACAUCAACCGAGAUUCCGCAAGUAGUGGCGAGCGAACGCGGAGGAGGCCAAACCAGUGGAUUUAUUCACUGGGGUUAGGACUCGCAUCAAGAUCAGAGGUAUCUAACAGAACGGCAUGGGAAGGCCGGCCACAGAGGGUGAGAGCCCCGUAAGUGAAAGAGAAGACUGACAGCGAGGAUCCAGAGUACCGCGGGACACGUGAAACCCCGUGGGAAGACGGGUGGACCACCAUCCAAGCCUAAAUACUACCUGAUGACCGAUAGAGGAGCAGUACCGUGAGGGAAAGGUGAAAAGGACCCCGGGAGGGGAGUGAAAGAGAACCUGAAACCUUGUGCUUACAAGCACUCAAAGCACGUUAAAGUGUGAUGAGGUACUUUUUGUAGAACGGUCCGGCGAGUUAUAGUAACGAGCAAGGUUAAGCAAUUCAGUUGCGAAGCCGCAGCGAGAGCGAGUCUGAAUAGGGCGCAUGAAGUUCGUUGCCAUAGACCCGAAACCGGGUGACCUAACCAUGAGCAGGCUGAAGUGAGAGUAAAAUCUCAUGGAGGGCCGAACGCACGUUCGUUGCAAUGACCGGCGAUGACUUGUGGUUAGCGGAGAAAUUCCAAUCGAACUCGGAGAUAGCUGGUUCUCCCCGAAAUAGCUUUAGGGCUAGCGUUGAUUUAGAUUACCGGAGGUAAAGCACUGAAUGGGCUAGGGGGCGAUAAGCUUACUGAACCCUAUCAAACUCUGAAUGCCGGCUAAUUGAUGAUCAGCAGUCAGACAGUGUGAGAUAAGUUUCAUUGUCAAAAGGGAAACAGCCCAGACCUACAGCUAAGGUCCCAAAUGUAUGCUAAGUGGAAAACGAUGUGGAGUUGCAAAAACAACCAGGAUGUUGGCUUAGAAGCAGCCAUUCAUUAAAAGAGUUCGUAAUAGAUCACUGGUCGAGUGACUCUGCGCGGAAAAUAUAACGGGGCUAAGCAUGCAACCGAAGCUUAGGAUUGUCGAAAGACAGUGGUAGGGGAGCGUCGUGUACGGGGUGAAGUCUGAGCGGAAGCACAGGUGGACUGUACAGGAGUGAGAAUGCCGGAAUGAGUAGCGAGAAUUAUGUGGGAAUCAUAAUGGCCGAAAAUCUAAGGUUUCUUGGGGAAGGUUCGUCCGCCCAAGGUAAGCCGGGAGCUAAGGCGAGGCCGCAAGGCGUAGUCGAUGCACAUACGGUAGAAAUUCCGUAGCCACCGAACUUUAAACCAGAAGGACACUUGCAGAUAGCGGAACCCAGCCGUUGGUUGAGCUGGGCGAAAGGGACUGAAAUAUAGUAGGGAAGUCCGCGAUGCUGUGAGGCGAGAAAAGCUCUGGUGUAUACUAAGGUGCCCGUACCGCAAACCGACACAGGUAGAUGAGGAGAGAAUCCUAAGGCCAACGGGAGAAGGGUUGUUAAGGAACUCGGCAAAUUGACCCCGUAACUUCGGAAGAAGGGGAGCCUCGAAAGAGGCCGCAGUGAAUAGGCCCAAGCAACUGUUUACCAAAAACACAGGUCUAUGCUAAAUCGAAAGAUGACGUAUAUGGGCUGACGCCUGCCCGGUGCCGGAAGGUUAAGAGGAGAGCUUAGCGCAAGCGAAGGUUUGAAUUGAAGCCCCGGUAAACGGCGGCCGUAACUAUAACGGUCCUAAGGUAGCGAAAUUCCUUGUCAGGUAAGUUCUGACCCGCACGAAUGGCGUAAUGAUUUGGGCACUGUCUCGACAGCCCGCCCGGCGAAAUUGUAGUAC